rnacentral:rRNA from 1 species
CAAAGGGGGGUGGGAUAGAAUGCAGUUGUGCGUCUCUAAGCCAUGGUAGAGACGCGGCAUACGGCUCAGUAACACGUGGCUAACCUACCCUUAGGACGGGGACAACCCCGGGAAACUGGGGUUAAUAUCCGAUAGGUGAGGAGGCCUGGAAUGGUUCCUAGUCGAAAAGGCGUUGAAACCAUGCUUUUCGACGUCGCCUAAGGAUGGGGCCGCGCCCGAUCAGGUUGUUGGUGGGGCAACGGCUCACCAAGCCUAUAACCGGUACGGGCCGUGAGAGCGGGAGCCCGGAGAUGGGCACUGAGACAAGGGCCCAGGCCCUACGGGGCGCAGCAGUCGCGAAAACUCCGCAAUGCGCGAAAGCGUGACGGGGCUACCCCGAGUGCCGUCCGCUGAGGAUGGCUUUUCCCCGGUGUAAUGAGCCGGGGGAAUAAGGAGAGGGCAAGACUGGUGUCAGCCGCCGCGGUAAUACCAGCUCUCCGAGUGGUAGGGAUGAUUAUUGGGCUUAAAGCGUCCGUAGCCGGCUUAGCAAGUUUCCUGUUAAACUCAGCGACUCAAUCGUUGGAUCGCGGGAAAUACUACUAGGCUAGGAGGCGGGAGAGGUCAACGGUACUUCUGGGGUAGGGGUGAAAUCCUAUAAUCCCGGGAGGACCACCAGUGGCGAAGGCUGUUGACUAGAACGCGCUCGACGGUGAGGGACGAAAGCUGGGGGAGCGAACCGGAUUAGAUACCCGGGUAGUCCCAGCUGUAAACGAUGCGAGCUAGGUGUUGGGAUGGCUACGGGCCAUUGCAGUGCCGCAGGGAAGCCAUUAAGCUCGCCGCCUGGGGAGUACGGCCGCAAGGCUGAAACUUAAAGGAAUUGGCGGGGGAGCACCACAAGGCGUGAAGCUUGCGGUUCAAUUGGAUUCAACGCCGGG